rnacentral:tRNA from 1 species
AAAUCCGUCGAUUUUAAAAAUCUUGAGGGUUCAAGUCCCUCUAUCCCCA